rnacentral:rRNA from 1 species
AUCAACGCUGGCGGCGCGCUUAACACAUGCAAGUCGCACGAGAAAGCAGGAGCAAUCUUGUGAGUAAAAGUGGCGUACGGGUGAGUAACACGUGGAUCAUCUAUCUUCUAGUGGGGAAUACCCCUGGGAAACUGGGGACAAUACCGCAUAAGCUCGUGAGAGGAAAGCAGCAAUGCGCUGGAAGAGGAGUCCGCGGCUGAUUAGCUAGUUGGCGGGGGUAACGGCCCACCAAGGCGAAGAUCGGUAGCCGGCCUGAGAGGGCACACGGCCACACUGGCACUGAAACACGGGCCAGACUCCUACGGGAGGCAGCAGUGGGGAAUCUUGCACAAUGGAGGAAACUCUGAUGCAGCGACGCCGCGUGAGCGAUGAAGCCCUUCGGGGUGUAAAGCUCUUUCGACGGGAACGAUAAUGACGGUACCCGAAGAAGAAGCUGCGGCUAACUACGUGCCAGCAGCCGCGGUAAUACGUAGGCAGCAAGCGUUGUUCAGAAUUACUGGGCGUAAAGAGUGUGUAGGCGGUGCUCUAAGUCUGGUGUGAAAUCUCCCGGCUCAACUGGGAGGGUGCGCUAGAAACUGGAGUGCUCGAGGAUGGGAGAGGUAAGCGGAAUUCCUGGUGUAGCGGUGAAAUGCGUAGAUAUCAGGAGGAACACCUGUGGUGUAGACAGCUUACUGGACCAUUUCUGACGCUGAGACACGAAAGCGUGGGUAGCAAACAGGAUUAGAUACCCUGGUAGUCCACGCCCUAAACAAUGCAUACUUGGUGUGAGCGAUUCAUUUCGUUCGUGCCGGAGCUAACGCGUUAAGUAUGCCGCCUGGGGAGUACGGUCGCAAGGCUGAAACUCAAAGGAAUUGAUGGGGGCCCGCACAAGCGGUGGAGCAUGUGGUUCAAUUCGACGCAACGCGAAGAACCUUACCUGGGCUCGAACGGCUGGUUAACGGCAGUGGAAACAUUGCUACUCCGCAAGGAGGUCCAGUCGAGGUGCUGCAUGGCUGUCGUCAGCUCGUGUCGUGAGAUGUUGGGUUAAGUCCCGCAACGAGCGCAACCCUUGUCCUGUGUUGCCACCAUUCAGUUGGGCACUCUCAGGAGACCGCCAGCGAUAAGCUGGAGGAAGGUGGGGAUGAUGUCAAGUCAUCAUGGCCUUUAUGUCCAGGGCUACACACGUGCUACAAUGGCCGGUACAAAGCGCUGCAAACUCGCAAGAGGGAGCUAAUCGCAAAAAACCGGUCUCAGUUCGGAUCGCAGGCUGCAACUCGCCUGCGUGAAGCUGGAAUCGCUAGUAAUGCCGUAUCAGAACGAUGGCGUGAGUACGUUCCCGGGCCUUGUACACACCGCCCGUCACAUCACGAAGUGGAUUGUACUAGAAGUUCCCCUUAAAGGACCCAAGGUAUGAUUCAUGAUUGGGGUGAAGUCGUAACAAGGUAA